CCUAAAAAUUAGACAGCAAAACUAAAUUUAUAGACUGCUAAGAAAGUAGUCGGUAUAAAAUAAAAUUACAGACCGCUAUAAAGCAGUAGGUAUUUUAACGUCUAUUUUUUAAACAAUAACGACUAACUACAAGAAUAAGAAAAAAUUCAAAGAAUAAGUUUGGGUACUCACCGUGAUUUUCGAAAGGUUGGUCCUUGAAGAUUUGUCAUUUUCAUCUCUCGCCAUUUGUCCGUGGAGAUUCCAAAAGGAUUGUGGUGAAUGGGACCGAGAAGUAUGAGGAGCUAGAAAGCAAAUCGACGAACAACUCGCCAACGAUGGAGCUAUCACUGGAUAAAUCGGCGAGAAAAUCGAUGGUCGUUGGUGAUCGAUUUUUUAGUUUAGGUGAUUGUAAGUAUCUUUUCUUUCAAUUUAUUAAUUUUAGAUGUUUAGAUCUAGUUAGAAUUCUACAUUCUUUAGAUGUUCCGGUGCAAUUAUUUUGGUUAUUUAAAUUUAAUAUUUAUUUUUGGUGAUUGAAAUUUUGUAUUUGAUUAUGCAUAUAUAAUUCAAAAUUUAGCCAUAAAUAAA